UGAGGAACAUGACCUUCGGCGGGGGAUAGCCGGCCCAACGGCCGGGUAAUACCGCGUACGACCACUGU
rnacentral:rRNA from 1 species